GAGCAGCCCGGGCCGCCGCUCGCCGCCCACCCUUGCCCUCAGCCUAGCGCCCCGUGGACCCUCCACCCCAAAUCGAAGCUGGACACCCGGGGCGGGGGCUGGAGGACCUUUGGAGCUUAGCACCCCAACCCCCACGUUUCACCCGUGUCCCAGAGGGGUUUCACAAAGUCUGUUUCUUGCAAGACAUCGUGCUAAACAAGAAAGCCAAGAGAUGACGGUGGCCUGUCUGUCUUGUCAAAGCCAGGAGAAGCUCCUGAACCUGCAGCAGUUGCCUGGGUGGUGUGCGCCGCUGCUCUGCAAGACCAGUGUGCAGCCACUGUUGAUUGAGUUGAGUCACCAAGCACAGCAUGGGAUUUGAUUAGGGCCGGAGACCACAGCAGUUGGCUUCACUGGAUCCCUUUAUCCCCGAAAGCUCAGUCAGUGGUCUGCAUGAGUGUAACUAAAAGAAAUCUAUCUGUGACAGCUUCUAAAAAUCAGACAAGUUCUGCUUCAGAGACACAGAUUGCUACCCCUCUGAGCACUCAAGCUCCUCCUGCAUGUUAUGUGUGCUGUGUCUGGAAUCGCACUUGCCUACGAGUUUAAUGGUUUUAGUGACUACAGAGAACAAAGACUCUUGGAGGUGAACUCGAUCAAGUCAUUCUCAGAUGAUCCUCUCAUGAGGUCCCUUGUGCUCACAGAGGGGUGGCUGUAUAUGACAGAUGUGCAGCCAUUCUUAUUCUGCAAAGACCCCCAGAGAAGCCACGUAAUGACUUCAGGAGACAUUUCAAAGUGCUAAAGCUCUCUUCCUCUCCUUCCUUAUGUGUAACUGGGAAGGUAUAACUCUAUGUGUAAUUUGAGAAUUAGUGUUUGCUUCAGAGAAAGUUGUGUGUGUGUGUGUGUGUGUGUGUGUGUGCAUACAUAUGUGGUACUGCCCCCAUGGACUGAUGUCAGCGAUAGAAGAUGGGUCUGGAGCCUUGGCACCAUCAUAAUCCCAUUCCAAGAGAGUCCCAAGUUGAGCUCUAUCCUUGGGAUAACCAAUUUCCUUUCAUUAAGCUACCUAACGAACCUUGAGGGUGAGGACCAGUAUGAGCAUCUGGCUAGUCUUGACCUUAAGGUUGACUCAAGUUCAAGAAAUGCACUCAACAGGAUGGGCAAUCGAUGGAUGGGAACAUUUUAUGUACUUAUUAAGUAAUUCCCUCUUCAUAGGGAUACUAUUCUCCAAGAGUUUAGAAGAAAUGCAUGACUGGAGAGUUAGACAAGAAUUUUUGGAGUGAAGGACUCUUCUGUUGAGAACUUCCCACAACAGGGGUGUGAUAGGCCAAGCUCAGGUCCUUCCUUGUGAAUUCUAGGAAAAGUCGUGCCUGGGAUUUUCUCCUCCCUUUCUCCUCAUGUGUAUGAAGGCAAGUCAAUGAAGAAAGCAUAGCCCUGUCAACAAAUGGUCAUGGAAUAAUUGAACAUCUGUAUGUUAAAAAUAAAAGCCUUGAUCUAUA